UUUUCAAACCACACACAAACACAUGCAGGAGGAGUAAAGUGCAGUCAGCUGCUCCAGAGUUAAAAAUAAAAAUACGGCCUCUCUCUGCUCCAACAUUAAGAUGUAAUAUUAGGACAUGUUUCACUGAAGGCAGAGAGAGGGUGACAUACAGCGGGAUGCACUGGGUGGAAAAGGUCAGCGGAUCGGGAUUUAAACAUGUGACUUUUAUUGCGGGUCAAUUCCGUUUACAGCUCAAACACCAACAGCCUCAAACGGUAACUUCCUGGAGGUUGAAAGGUGUUUGAAAUGGAGGGGGGUGAAAUAAAAAGCAAUAAAAUAUUCAGGGAGCGGAAGAGAGCCAGGGUGAAUAAAUAACUUUUAAGUCCCCCUAACAAUUUACGACCUUUCUAACAAGUUUGUCCCAUCAGCGGCUCACAAACUCAGUUGUUGUUGGCAAAGCUGCUGAAAAAACUACCGCUCCCUGCUUCUGCUUCUACUACAUAUUGGAAUUAAACGUUUUUCUCUGAGAUGGAUUCAUUUUAACAAGUAUUAAGGACGCGGCGCUUCCUCUCCGCUUUGUGGGAACGGGAAGCAGCAGCAUUGUGUUGGAGCUGACUGUGGUUUAAUCAUUAAUGAGCACUAACAGUCGGGACAGGACAGGACAGGCAUGGCCUACAGCCUGGGACACACACACAGGACGGUGUGUGGCGGUCAGAGAGGAAGACUCGGCACCGGAAAGCGUUUGCUAAAUGAGAACCGGAGAGUGUGUACGGUUGGAGGCAGCAGUUUAUGUGAGGGAGUGGAGGACAGAAACAUGGAGAGAUAAUAGUAAGACAUACCUUAAAGGGAGACAGUCUGUCAGGCGGCCCUAACUGUCACUGUGUUGUUUGCCGUUCCCUCCUGUUAUGAGCAGAUUUGAACCCCCCUGCUUACCGUAGGCGUUUAUUACAAAACAGUAAAUGUCGCUGUAGCCUACUACAGUUGGUCCCUUUUUGGCCUUGUUUUAAGAGCAUUUAUUGUUACAUAGCUGCAGUCUGCCGCGUGAAAACACUGGGUUUUGUGACGCAAGAUGUUACCUUACAGGACUAAAGUCUUGGCCUUUUUGCUCACAGUAAUAUGAUGAACAUUUUUGGGGUGAAAAAUAAGAUAAUUAAAAUGACUAAAAUAUAUCAAUAAUGUCACUUUUACUGCUAUUAUGCUGCUAUAAAAAAAAAAAACUAGGCUACGAAAAACAACGAGCAUAGCCUACUACCACAGCCACCACCACCACUAAUAAUAAUAAUAAUAAUAAUAAUAAUAAUAAUAAUAAUGAGGUUUCUCCUGGCGGAUACAGGUUUUAAGCCCCUCUAUCCCCGCGCAGUAAAUCACCCCGGUGUAGCUGUGAUUGAGCCGCAGUGUAAACAGUUAAGAGCUGCUGAAGGAACUCCAGGAAUCUAAGAAACUUCAGAGAUUAUCGACAAUUAAAGCUGAAGGAGUCAGACUGCUGUUUUAUUGCUUUAUGGCUCUUUUUCCCCUGUGUGUGUGUGUGUGUGUGUGUGUGUGUGUGUGUGUGUGUGUGUGUGUGUGACACAGAGAGUGGGACCUCGGGACUUUUAUGGCUUUAUGACCGUUUAUGACUCCUUGUAAAGUCCGAGGAAUGGCGACGAACUGAAAAACAGGCCCGCAGCAAACAGCAGAUGAACAAAUGUGCUGUGCUGCACACAAGGAACGGCGUGCACACUCCCACACACACACACACACGGGCAUUGUACAGUUCAUCUGCGGUUCAUUUCAGCCCCGGCAAUGCUCAAAUCGCCUGCAUUUCACUCAGUAUUAUUAACAAGCAUUUUGAAAUAAUUAUAAUUAACGGUCUAUGAAAUUAAACCGUUGCUAUUUAUUUUAUUGACUUAGACGAUGGGGUUUUUUUUUUUUUUUUUUACCCCGAAUUUAAUUUCAAACAUUGCAGAGACAGAACUACACUGAUUUUUUAAUGACAGAGGAGGUAGGGUUGAUAUUGCAGCUUAAUUUCAAAACAACCAUAUAUCUAUAAUAUAGCUAGCUAAUAUCUUUUUUGUAAAUUGAAAAACUUACAUUUCCCACAUGUAUUAACUUUAAACACAAAUGUGUUUUGACUUACUUAAAAUUGGAAAAUCGUUCAAAACACACAGCAUUAGGUAAAAGAAAGACACAUUAAGAAGUCUUCUUAUCACCUUAUAAUUUUAAAAUAAUGAAUAUCUUCAAAGGCGGUAACUGUUACAUAGGCUGUGACUUAUAAAGAUUUUAGAAUAGGCUGUGACUUAUUUAAAUUAGAAAGUGGAUCCUCCGUUCGCUGAAUCAUGUCCGGAAAAGAGGAAAAGUUUUGUUUAACUACAGGAAUGUAAAGGUUUGUUCACGGGUUUAAAGCUCAAUACACUCAAUAGGAAGCAGAGUGUGUGUGUGUGUGUGUGUGUGUGUGUGUGUGUGUGUGUGUGUGUGUGUGUGUGUGUGUGCGCGCUGGCCGACCUCUCCUGCAGUAGUUAAUGAGAAACCGAGAGAAACUGCCUCACUAGUGCUUUUUUGUUUUAAUGUAUUAAUCGUUUCCAGGCAGCGCGAGCCGGCUGGCCGUGUCCUUCACGCAGCCGUGAGCUCGUGCUCUGGGUCAGUUCACCGGACCGUUACCGGUCGGCGCGAGCACCAGGCCACACAAGGGCCCCGGGACGAGUUAAAGAUUAACGAAUGCAGUCUCUGCUAAAUAAAGAAUACACCUGUCCAUCGGAAACAUACGGUAUAUAAUACAAUUAUAUAAUAAUCAUACAACAUGUUACAAAACAAAGUGUUAUUGCAGUUCAAAUAAAAACAGAAAAAUAUAUAUUCUACUAGUAUUUGUACUAUUGUGAAUUAAUAGCCUACUGUAUAUUUCUUACAACUAGUAGUACCCUUAUCUUAGUUUUAAGGUGUUUAAAGCUUAAUUAAACUUUCACUUAUUACCUCUGAGCUUGCAGCAUGCAGGGACGUGCAAUAGCACAUGUGGCUGCUUUGUAUGAACACGGUGCUGCACUGGAAUCGUUUAUACAGCUGAAUAAUAAUGUGGAAUUCCCCUCUGAUUCUACCGCCCUGAUAGUACACAGAAAAUCCAAUUGAGGUGUUUGGCUGUCGAGUAGAAAAGAGAUAGACGAGAGAAUGCAAAAUAUUGAUUUUCCAUCUGAUCUUAAUGCACUGAAGUUGAUUUUGAAUGCCGGAUUAAAGUCAGAUGAUGCUGGAGUCAUAAAUUAAACUCUGUACGUUACUGCCUCCCCGCGCCUUCCCUGCACAGGGCUCUUUCAAGUGAUCAUCACACACACACACACACACACACACACACACACACACACUCCUGGAUGCAUAUAUACGGGGGGUUGCACAGCAGAUCUGCAGAUGAGGAACCAGUAAAGAUGAUAAAAUCACAGAGCAAGGACGAGUUAUUAUGUUUACACCAACACCAACACCUACAAGCACACGCACGCGCACAAUGGAGCCUCUGUUUAUCGAAACAGCGACCCUGACCAAUCAGCACAAAUUUUACAUCCUAUAAAGUUCUGUUUCCUAGGGCCCAACGCGCGCGCGAACACACACACACACACACACACACACACACACACACACACACACACACACACACACACACACAGAACUUUGUGCGCUCGUGGAUUUCUCCACGCCUCACUCACCACAGCGUAACAGCAGCCAGGCCUAACCUGGGGGAGAGAGGGGAAGAAUUUAGCUCCUGCCUCUUUCUAUCCCUCCAUGCCACAAAUCUGUCUCUCUCUGCGUUUCCACCAAAGAAAGAAAGAAAGAAGCCAACAACCAGUAAGACAAAAGGCAAAUUGUACCCACACCAACAUGUGCGCGCACACACACGCGCUCCCUUGCCUCUUGCCAUGUCAGGUCUGGUUUCAAACAGGACAAAAAAGUAAAGUCGCGGCCACAUCAUCAGUUUGUCAACAGCUAAUACAAUGCAGACCACACACACACACACACACACACACACACACACACACACACACACACACACACACACACGUUGCCAACAGCACAUCACACCUUCGAUCGACGACAGAGACACAUUCAGCAUUGACGCCAGGAAGCAUAGCCUGCGAGCACGAGUCUUUGACGAGUACCCUGAAGGAUGAAGCGUGUGUGUUUGUGAGUGAAUGUUUGGUACUGUCACCAACGCGACGCUAGAUGGCACCAGAGCGUUUUGUAGGAGCGUGUCGGGGCUGCUGGGCGGCUCAGUGUGAGCACCGCCGCCGAACAGCAGCAUGGUCCAGCCUGGACAUCAGUGUGACCACCGCUCUCUGGCUGCGCUGUUCUUCAUGUCUGAGCCUGGUUUCCUCCACAAUACAAAGCCCAAAUCCUCCACAGUUUGUAUCAUAUUGUUACGGUAUUUACAUGUGAUAUUGUUUUAUUUUUUAGUGAAAUUUCUAUUUUAAUCGCCUCUAGGCUGUAUCUGGAAGGAAAUGCCUUGUUUAAAUAGACUGCAUGUGAUGCAACUUUGUAUUGCUCUAUACUAGGGUUAUGAAUGUACAUGCGUGUAUAUGAAUAACAUAGUUGUACAAAUGCAUAUUUAUAUAAAUAAACUUAAAAACUUGA